rnacentral:rRNA from 1 species
UACGAAGGGGGCUAGCGUUGCUCGGAAUUACUGGGCGUAAAGCGCACGUAGGCGGAUUGUUAAGUCGGGGGUGAAAUCCUGGAGCUCAACUCCAGAACUGCCCUUGAUACUGGCGAUCUCGAGUCCGGGAGAGGUGAGUGGAACUGCGAGUGUAGAGGUGAAAUUCGUAGAUAUUCGCAAGAACACCAGUGGCGAAGGCGGCUCACUGGCCCGGUACUGACGCUGAGGUGCGAAAGCGUGGGGAGCAAACAGG